rnacentral:rRNA from 1 species
UACGUAGGUGGCAAGCGUUGUCCGGAAUUAUUGGGCGUAAAGCGCGCGCAGGCGGUCCUUUAAGUCUGAUGUGAAAGCCCACGGCUCAACCGUGGAGGGUCAUUGGAAACUGGGGGACUUGAGUGCAGGAGAGAAGAGUGGAAUUCCACGUGUAGCGGUGAAAUGCGUAGAGAUGUGGAGGAACACCAGUGGCGAAGGCGACUACCUGGCCUGUUCUUGACGCUGAGGCGCGAAAGCUAGGGUAGCAAACGGG